rnacentral:lncRNA from 1 species
ACUGAUCAUGGCAUAGCAUAACACAUAUCAACUAAUAUAAACACAUAUACUGCAUACUGCAUCGGGCCGAAGUCCGAAACAUAUAACACACAAACAUGCUUGAAUCACAUAGACCUCAAGCAUACUGAACUGCUGCUUCGGACUGAAGUUCGGAACUGCUACUAACUAAACGAGCCGGCAUUGUGGCCGUAGACCCGUUCCUACUGGAAGGAAACUCACCUCGUGAACUGGCUGCUGUGUGUAUGGCUCUGGAAACUAACUGCUGAUGCUCCGGUAUCUCCCCGGCUAUAAUUCCAUAACACACUCAAUCACAUGCUAAUCACUGUAUAGGGUAAAAUGACUCUUUUACCUCUGGUCAAAGUCAACUCUCCCGGUCAAAGUCAACCUACAGUUGACCUGACUCGCCGAUUUGGGCCGCCAACUCGCCGAGUCCUUAUUUUCACUUCUCAACCCUACUCGCUGCUACUCGUCGAGUAUGGCAUCAGCUCGACGAGUUCCCUUUCGAAUCUAAAACUCAGGCAAUCUGCAUCCGACUCGUCGAGUCAUAUGGACAACUCGACGAGUUGUUCUUCGAUCUAAGAAGAUUGCCUUGGACUCGCCGAGUUGUAUGAACAACUCGUCGAGUCCUUCCAUUACUGAGUCUAACCUCCAACUCGCUGAGUCCACUCUACCACUCACUAGUCCCCACUCGGCAUCACUCAAAAAGGGAAAAUCAGGGACUCGCGACUCGACUCGCCGAGUCAUUUUUCCGACUCGCCGAGUCGCUUGCAUGCAGCAACUCUAAACUUGAUUCUGCUUGAAUCCAGUGUAUAAAUCUUAUAGAUCUGGGCUCCCUUAACUCGAUUAGCAUGUAAAGAUUCUAUCUUUACGUGCCUAUAUGCAUCCAUGAAGAUAAAAUGGCUCAAAAAGCAUAAUAAAGGCUAGAUCUAGAGUUCUCAUGCAAAGUAUCUUCAAAAAGGCAAUAGAUCCGGGCUCUACAACUCCUAAAUGAACAGAUCUAAGGAUAUCUCGGCCUAUUAAGGCAUUCAUACAACUAUAGGGCUUGAAAAAUACAUCAAACUAGCCCUAGAAGUGUUCUAAUGGAAGUUUAAAGCAUAAAACAGAAGGAAAUCCGAAGAAUACCUCAAUGAACUCUGAUUUUGCCCUUGGAUCUUUGCUCUACACCUCUUCUCUUUGCUCAUUUCUUCUUCUUCUUCUUCAAGCCUUCAAAAUCCACACACAAAAGCACUUAAAACAAUAAGGGAUGGAUUAGGGUUUUCUCACAGCUCUCUGAGGGUGAAGGAGGCGAGUUUGGGGCUCAUAAGGUUGUUUAAAUAGGGUGCAACCCGGGGAUUUAGGGUUUCUUCCAGGCAGGCAGACUUGCCGAGUCCUGAAUAUGGAUUCGCCGAGUCGCCGACUAACACGUGCUCGAAAUCCCGUCCCUAUUCGGCGAGUCUGGCUAUAGAGUCGCCGAGUCCCUCAAGAAAACCUCUUAAACAAAUAUCAUGGAAGCAACAUACCAGAGACGGGGCGUUACAAUUCUCCCCCACUUGUCUCAGACUUCAUCCUCGAAGUCUGCUACGGCUGAAUCUGCAAAUAACUCCGGGUAGUGCUUUCUCAUCUCCUCCUCAGCCUCCCACGUCCACUCAGACCCCUUCCGGUGCUGCCACUGCACCUUCACUAACUGAAUCUCCUUCUCUUUUUCAUAAUUUCCUCAACGUUGCUUCCUCCGACUAAAAAUUUUGUUCCCCUCAUCCGCCUACCGGAUGCACUGAGACUACCCUGGUCUAACUAAUCUGCCGAUAUCUGAGUUACUGGACUCCCACCGGUCACUACACCCCAUCGCAAUCUCCUAGUCGCUCCCAGCGACUCCGGAAGAUACUUCGACUAUCUAUAUCUGUUCUAUCCAUUCUGCCAUCCAUACUGAAUCGAUGCUACUGGAACCAGCCUACUUAUCUCUCAUUUGACUACUAACUCGAGCCUUCCAUCCUAAAAGAAAAGCUACCUGCCUAGUUAUCCUUACAGAUCGCUUAUACUUGGCAGAAAGCUCAACUGAUCCUGCUGAGAGCGACUUGCCAUUUUCAAAUCAACCAACUAUACUGUCAGCACUUGCAUUCCAACACAAAUACUAAUACUGUCCAAAACUCUGAAGCUAUCCAAACACUGAACUGCCUGCAAUACUGAACAUGCCUGAAGCACUGAGCUGCCCGAAACACUGAACUGACUGAAGCACUGAACUGCCCGAAACACUGAACUACCUGAUGCACUGAACUGACUGAAACACUGAGUCCCAACUCAACUGUGGAGUCAAAGGACUCCUUACUUAGUCGCUCCCACGACUUCUGAACGAAAUCUUUCUCUGGAACUAGUUUCCACUAGCUAUCCUGUUACUGUUGUUCUAACAACCUUCCGAUCCAAUCGAUCGGACCCAUACGUCACAUCCUGACAUCAACAAUUCCACGACUAACAAUAUGAUGGCUCCCAGACUGACGGUAGCCCUUAACGUACACGAACCCCAACGGUCCACUACUACUCUGAUCUCAUAACUGAGGUGACAAUCUACUGACAAAUCGCCCACUUAACCAUAACUAAACCAUUUGGGAAAUCCAGAAUCUAACCCGUGGAUUCCCAUAUCCUCUCUACUGCACCCGAACUGGUGGGUACUACUGCUUUCCCGCGUCCAACAACGCGCUCAUGCUGCCUGCCAAUCUGAUAAAGGCUGCGGCUACGCUCGCGGACUUACAACUCUUCUAAUACUAUGUGGCUGCUAGUGAAUGCUACGGCUACCCCCGCAGACUUACAACACCACUACUACUAUCUGACUGCUAGUGAAUGCUACGGCUACCCCCGCAGACUUACAAUCACUACUACUACUAUCUGACUGCUAGUGAAUGCUACGGCUACCCCCGCAGACUUACAACACUCUACUACUAUCUGACUGCUAGUGAAUGCUACGGCUACCCCCGCAGACUUACAACACUCUACUACUAUCUGACUGCUAGUGAAUGCUACGGCUACCCCCGCAGACUUACAACACUCUACUACUAUCUGACUGCUAGUGAAUGCUACGGCUACCCCCGCAGACUUACAACACUCUACUACUAUCUGACUGCUAGUGAAUGCUACGGCUACCCCCGCAGACUUACAACACUCUACUACUAUCUNNNNNNNNNNNNNNNNNNNNNNNNNNNNNNNNNNNCUCUACUACUAUCUAACUGCCAGUGAAUGCUAUGGCUACCCCCGUAGACUUACAACACUCUGCUAUUAUCUGAGGACAUCCUGACCAUCCCUAGACCUGCUAGUGAUUCCUCAUCCUAAUUUCUCAAAACCCGCCCUCAGUCUUUGAAUACUGCAUCAUCCUCAACAUCUUAUAUCCUUGAUAUACUUAGCGCUUCGUUGAGGAGCUCUUCGGCUUGGUUCCCAAACCAACCGUCUACUAAUCCGGAUACAAGAAGCUAUUGCUGGGAAGUUUCCAAACUCCCAACUCCUGAAUCUACACAAUCCUGCAUGCUGACUCUGUCACUGGCUACUAAUACGAAAACAUCUCUUGCUAACCGUUCUCAGAAUCCUUAUUCCGACUCACCUGAUCCCUACGGUGGUCCUCCAAUCCUGGAUCCCCAACCAACUUCUAACCAUCUUGAUUACAUGAACUAACCGCUGGGAAGGUCCUCGGACUCACAAUUCUGAACUUCUCAAUCCAUCAAUCACUGUGCUACUAUCAUUUCUUCUCAGAGGCCGGGCACUUAUUCUGGAUCUACGUGGCUCUUAUCCUUGUAUACUCGGAGGGUUCUCCCUCACUUCGAUCCUGCUAGUGCCCUACAGCACACAAAACUGGAAGAAUUCCCAAUCCUUCUCACCACCCAUGACCAAUCUGCUAGAAACCACACUUACCAUUGCUAGUGUUUCAACACUAGCUAAUCCAAAAGAUCACACAACUCUAAAAAUUCGAAUAAAUUUCCGGUAAUAACCCGCUAAACCCAGGAAACUCCGAAUCUCAAUUGGAGACCAUCGGAAUGUCCCACUUUAUCACGGCCUCUAUCUUGGCCGGAUUGACUAGAAUAUCCUUCCGAUUGACGAGGUACCCCAAGAAAUUGCACCCCGUGCAACCAGAACUCACGAUUAAAGAACCUUGCGAAAAUUCUCUUCCUCCUCAAAGUCUCUAGCACUUCCCGCAGGUGCUUCUCGUGCUGCUCCUCAGUCUUGGAAUAAACCAAGAUGACGCUGUACUUUCCCAAUCCCAUAAUCUGGGGGAUUGCUCUAUCACUAUUCACUAAUGCUUCUCGGCAUGCAUUUGGCAUAUGACAUCUCUUGAAAAUGUAAUUCAGACACGAACCGAGGAUAACACAGGGUUACACUUACUCAACCCUUGGAACAAAAGGUCCCCUUGUGCAGUUUCCCACAAGUGCUGCACCGAUUCUGACCCCGCUGGCCUCUCAGAAGCUGAUAUAAAAUCUACAGUCUCCUCCCGAGACCCCUUUACUAUAAGCAACUGAUCUGGUUCCCUCUUAACAAUGUGCUCUAAGUCAAUAUCCCGCUCUCGAGCUCUAGAAGUCAUAUCAUUCAAGGUCUUGCACUCCGAGACACUCACAAUCUCCCUGCUAUCAUUCUACAAUAUGUUCUGAUAACUUACUUUCUUCGUUUCCUCAUCUGUUGCAUACUGUGGUGCCAUAUAAGCUCUUUCCUGAGACUUGUUAGUGACCUCUACCACAAUCUUAGUCGUCUAGUGGAGAUCUAACAACUCUUGCGCCAACUGCUGCGCCUCAAUCACUUGGGCACACUAUGCCCAUAAUCUGGUUUGGAAGUCAUCUCAUGACAUAACAUCAACCACGUCAUCACUCAACUCACUACCAACCUCUUCCUAUCAAUCUCUUGCUCUAUCCCUCAGGAGAUAGGAAGUAAGUCAGAUCUUGUCUCCUUUCGAGACAACAUCUGGUACGAAAUGUGUUGGCAACAUCUGCCAACCAUCUGCCGCUAACAAUGGGGUCCCUAACCCCCUGACAAUCUGAAGCCUCACAAACUGUGAAUUGCCGAAACAUCAACGUACGGGUCUCUAUCAUGACUACUGUCUCAGUGCAAAAUGAACUCGGCCUCUCAUCAUAAAUCUCCAUAAUGCCCUCCUUGAUCACACUGAGGAUCACAGGAGUCUGGUCAGUGAUAGUGCGCAAAAUUCUCAAAUGAAAUGAACUCUCUCAUCUGAUCAUCAAUCUGCCUGACUCCAGAGUCCGAGCCUGAUCCCUUGUCGACACCAGAACUACCAUCUGGUCUACCACGUAGCGUCACUAUACUCGGCAACAUGCCGUCACUAACAUCACAAUACUCACCAAAUCUCGAGGGAUCUCACACACUACUGCUGAGGGAUCUCUCACACCCUCUACUAGUUCCCUGGUUUUGCCUUGGCCCCUCUUGAAUCGAGUACGGAUCCUCUGCUUUCAGUAGUACGGGCCCAUACUACCUUCCACAUCUAUCCGUACUUUCCUCAAGAGUUACCUCAACUCCACCAAGUCCCCUUUUCUCUACUACUGAUCGCUGCUACUCUCAUCCUAGGCGUGCCCUAGGGAACCUCUAACUCUAUCCAAACAGUCCUCAGCUGCUAAAGGCCUCCUUGUAAUGCCAAUUAGCCACCACCUGAAUACCAUCACAUGUGACGAGGCUCAGAUAAUCCUUCAAGUAAAAGACUCGUCCCUACAACGGUUGGACUCAAACAAGAGCUACACAAUAGGGUCAAAUCCAGCACUCUGAGAUUAUUCAACCCUGAUCACAUGUGGUGUGACGUAUUCACCUAAUGGCUAACUCCCAUCACUCAGAGUCCCACAAAGCACAAAGCAAGCAGCAUUCGGAUAAAGGAAACAUACUCAGGCAAAACUAUUCUCAUAACAAGAAACUGUACUAGCAUACAAUGCUAAGCUCAUACUAUCAGGCAUAACCUACACAGGCUAUCCUACUACUGUCUACUCANUGCAAUACUCAUAAAGCUUAAACACAUAUAGCAGGCAAAUACGGCAUCCUCCUAGAUCCUUAGUCCUAUACUAGCAUGCUGUUCUACUGAAACUGAAACUGAAACUAGAACUAAAACUGAAACUGAACUAAUAAACUUGUAUAGGUAAUUUGGAAGUACUUACUUGAGCUCGGCUGAUCGCAUGCACCACACCCUUUUCUCUUUAAAAAAAUUCCUUUCUUUCUAAGUGCUUUCAAAAUUCUUUAGAAAACAUUUUCCUUUUAAAAAUCUUUUUAUUUUCCCCUUAGUUUGAGUUCAGAUACACCCGGAAGUGCAUCCGAAUCCCUCAAACAAAGGCUUUGAUACCAACUUGAAACGACCCAAAAAUACUACCCAAAAAUUUCAUUUUUAAUAUAACCAAAAACCAUAAAUCUGAGUAUCACAUAAUAAAAACCAUAAUAAAAUACUGUGAAAAAGAUGUAUCACAACUGUAUCCAAACAUAUCAAAAGCUGAAUCAACUCCCAGGACAAAACUAAACUGUGGUGUGUGCGAUGCCAUCAUCCCGAGCUCUUCCCUUUGCUUGCGGAAGUACCUGAAACCAAAACUGAAACUGUAAGCACGAAGCUUAGUGAGCUCCCCCAAACUACCACAUACCAUACAAUACAUAUAAAGCACAUACUGGGCCUUGCCCACUGACUGGGACCCCGUCCCCUGCAUCGGACCGAAGUCCGGACUAACUGUCUGGGACCCCGUCCCCUGCAUCGGACCGAAGUCCGAAAACUGACUGGGACCCCGUCCCCUACAUCGGACCGAAGUCCGAAACUGACUGGGACCCCGUCCCCUACAUCGGACCGAAGUCCGAAACUGACUGGGACCCCGUCCCCUGCAUCGGACCGAAGUCCGGACUAACUGAACACAGCAUAGCAUAACAUAUCAACUAGCAUAAACACAUAAAUCCUGUCUGAGCCACGGAGGCGUCAAACAUACUAACUACUGCAUUGGACCGAAGUCCAGAAACUACUGCUAACUGAACGGGCCGGCAUUGUGGCCUUAGACCCGUUCCUACUGGAAGGAAACUCACCUCGUGAACUGGC